UGGGGAAUAUUGCACAAUGGGGGAAACCCUGAUGCAGCGACGCCGCGUGAGCGAAGAAGGCCUUCGGGUCGUAAAGCUCUUUUAUGAGGGAAGAUAAUGACGGUACCUCAAGAAAAAGCCCCGGCUAACUACGUGCCAGCAGCCGCGGUAAUACGUAGGGGGCUAGCGUUGUCCGGAAUCACUGGGCGUAAAGGGUUCGCAGGCGGAAUAACAAGUCAGAUGUGAAAGGCAUGGGCUCAACCCAUGUAAGCAUUUGAAACUGUAAUUCUUGAGAAGUGGAGAGGUAAGUGGAAUUCCUAGUGUAGCGGUGAAAUGCGUAGAUAUUAGGAGGAAUACCUGUGGCGAAGGCGACUUACUGGACACAAAUCUGACGCUGAGGAACGAAAGCGUGGGGAGCGAACAGG
rnacentral:rRNA from 1 species